UCGUUCCUACGGGGCGCAGCAGUGAGGAAUAUUGGUCAAUGGGCGCGAGCCUGAACCAGCCAAGUCGCGUGGGGGAAGACGGUCCUAUGGAUUGUAAACCUCUUUUGUCGGGGAGCAAAAGACGCCACGCGUGGCGUUCCGAGAGUACCCGAAGAAAAAGCAUCGGCUAGCUCCGUGCCAGCAGCCGCGGUAAUACGGAGGAUGCGAGCGUUAUCCGGAUUUAUUAGGUUUAAAGGGUGCGCAGGCGGAAGAUCAAGUCAGCGGUAAAAUUGAGAGGCUCAACCUCUUCGAGCCGUUGCAACUGG
rnacentral:rRNA from 1 species